rnacentral:rRNA from 1 species
GACGAACGCUGGCGGCGUGCUUAACACAUGCAAGUCGAACGGAAAGGCCCAGCUUGCUGGGUACUCGAGUGGCGAACGGGUGAGUAACACGUGGGUGAUCUGCCCUGGACUCUGGGAUAAGCCUGGGAAACUGGGUCUAAUACCGGAUAUGACCUUACAUCGCAUGGUGUUUGGUGGAAAGCUUUUGCGGUUCAGGAUGGGCCCGCGGCCUAUCAGCUUGUUGGUGGGGUAAUGGCCUACCAAGGCGACGACGGGUAGCCGACCUGAGAGGGUGAUCGGCCACACUGGGACUGAGACACGGCCCAGACUCCUACGGGAGGCAGCAGUGGGGAAUAUUGCACAAUGGGCGCAAGCCUGAUGCAGCGACGCCGCGUGAGGGAUGACGGCCUUCGGGUUGUAAACCUCUUUCACCAGGGACGAAGCGUGAGUGACGGUACCUGGAGAAGAAGCACCGACCAACUACGUG